rnacentral:rRNA from 1 species
AUUGAACGCUGGCGGCAUGCUUUACACAUGCAAGUCGAACGGUAACAGGGUGCUUGCACCGCUGACGAGUGGCGAACGGGUGAGUAAUGCGUCGGAACGCACCGAGUAACGGGGGAUAACGCAGCGAAAGCUGUGCUAAUACCGCAUACGCUCUGAGGAGGAAAGCGGGGGACCUUCGGGCCUCGCGUUAUUCGAGCGGCCGACGUCUGAUUAGCUAGUAGGUGAGGUAAGAGCUCACCUAGGCGACGAUCAGUAGCGGGUCUGAGAGGAUGAUCCGCCACACUGGGACUGAGACACGGCCCAGACUCCUACGGGAGGCAGCAGUGGGGAAUUUUGGACAAUGGGCGCAAGCCUGAUCCAGCCAUGCCGCGUGUCUGAAGAAGGCCUUCGGGUUGUAAAGGACUUUUGUCAGGGAGGAAAUCCUUAGCGCUAAUACCGUUGAGGGAUGACAGUACCUGAAGAAUAAGCACCGGCUAACUACGUGCCAGCAGCCGCUGUAA